UUGGAGGGGCAAGGUGUGUAGCAAUGAAACAUAAUACAUUUUGUUAGAUCAUAUUAUUCUUCUCUCCCACUUUCCCAAAAGAGUGUGCCUUUACGCUGAAUUGUCAUUUGCUACUCUCUUCAGAUCUCACACACUUGAGAGACUUUCUUGCUGCAUGAAUCCCUGGGAAACAUCACCUCAUUCUAGCUGCAGUGGCACUAUUGUUACAGUGACAAUGUAGCAGCCAGCUGUGGAGGUUGAGGUCACAAUCCUUCACUUCUGGAAGCCUGAGAAGGAACUUGCUGAUGUGGGAGGUUACACCAGCAGCAGGUCUUGUACCACCACUGGGCACAAAGCUUGGCAGGCAGCAUCAACCCAUAUUCAUGCCUGUCCAUGUUAUACAACACACAGCAGAGUGACCUCAAUUUGCCACAAAAAAUAGCAAUAAAAUCCGAUAGAGAGAUUUCUGAAGAAUUUAGAGGGAUGAUGAGAAGAAUGGUCAGGCACUCCAUGCAGGAAGUGAGUAGUACAUGAAAAAACAAGAAGCUCAUGGCUGAAGAUAGCACAGGUUUCAUGACUUACACCCCAAUGUAUCUGGGCUGCAGUGCCAGCCAGCAGGAGAAUAUUCACUGCUGGCAUAGUGACAGCUUAAGAAUGAUUUCUGUGACAGAUGGGCACUGCAGCAUCCAAGGGUUGCAAUCAUGGCAGUGCCUUUAUCAAACUGGUCUCUACUGGGAAACCACCUCCCUUUCACGUGAAAAAGAGCAUUGAGCCAUGGUAAAGAAGUGCUGCUAGUGGAUUGGGAGCUAGAUGCUUUGAAGGACUCAGAAGUAAUGCCAGCAGCACAAUUCUAGUAAGUUAAGAUCAUGACAAGAAGAAAGGAAGCUGCUCAGUAACUGAAGUCGUGUACUGACUACAUUGUCAGGAGUUUUUCCUGCAAAUUUUCCUGCAAUGUACUUUUCUUCAAAAGGUGCCAAUAAUCUUUUCUUUGCUACAAGGUGGAGUAGCAAGCAUUGCUCAAGUACAAUUAGUGCCCAAACCCCUGUCUGGA